AUAUUAAUUAAUUAAUUAAUUAUAUUAUGAGAUUUUUAUUUGGUAAACAAAUUAAAUAGUGACAAUUAUAUGGUGUUGAUGGUGUACAAAUGUGAAUAUAUGAUUGAAUAUUUAAUAGAUACUUAGAAUAAAUAUAUUAUUAUAGUAUAAAGUAAAUAAAAUAAAAGGAAAUAAAAACAAAGCAAAAGAAAAGAAACAGAAUAGAAAGAACAAAGAAACAGAGAAACAGACGAAACAGAGGAGAAACAGGGGAGAAAGAAGAAAAAGAAAGAAAAAGGGAAAAUAGGGUUUUUAAAGCUUGGAAUUAAUUUGGUAAGUCAAUCAAGUCCUUUUUCUUUUAAUUUAGAUGUUUUAGAAGUUUAAAACAAAGUUUUAUUGAAAAUAAGUUGAGGUUUUGGAAGUUGAUAGAUUUUUUUUGAGUAGGGUUUAUGUUGAUUAAAUGAUGGAAUUAAGGGUUUAAUUGAUAGGAAUUUUGUUUGGAAUUGAAUAAAGGAUUGAAUUGUAAACUAAACUAUAAAUUUUGAAUUCUAAGAAUUAAAUUGAAAUAAAUUCGAAAUUAUGAAAAUAUGAUAAAAAUUAGAUAGUUAAAUGUGAGUUUGGCAAGAAAUUGAGUAGCAAG
rnacentral:lncRNA from 1 species